rnacentral:rRNA from 1 species
GACAGAGGUGCCGAGCGUUAGGCGGAAUCACUGGGCUUAAAGCGUGUGUAGGCGGAUCCGUAAGUACCUUGUGAAAUCCCACGGCUCGACCGUGGAACUGCUUGGUAUACUGCGGGUCUUGAGCCAUCUAGGGGCAACCGGAACAAACGGUGGAGCGGUGAAAUGCGUAGAUAUCGUUUGGAACGCCAAUGGUGAAAACAGGUUGCUGGGGAUGUGCUGACGCUGAGACACGAAAGCCAGGGGAGCAAACGGG